UACGAAGGGUGCAAGCGUUGUUCGGAAUUACUGGGCGUAAAGCGCGCGUAGGCGGCUUGAUAAGUUGGGAGUGAAAUCCCGGGGCUCAACUCCGGAAUUGCUUUCAAAACUGUUAAGCUAGAGUAUGGUAGGGGACAGUGGAAUUCCUAGUGUAGAGGUGAAAUUCGUAGAUAUUAGGAGGAACACCAGUGGCGAAAGCGACUGUCUGGGCCAUUACUGACGCUGAGGCGCGAAAGCGUGGGGAGCAAACAGG
rnacentral:rRNA from 1 species